UCCACGCCGUAAACGAUGUUCACUCGCUGUUUGCGAUACACAGCAAGCGGCUGAGCGAAAGCAUUAAGUGAACCACCUGGGGAGUACGAUCGCAAGGUUGAAACUCAAAGGAAUUGACGGGGGCCCGCACAAGCGGAGGAACAUGUGGUUUAAUUCGAUGAUACGCGAGGAACCUUACCUGGGCUUAAAUGUAGAUUGCAUAAGGUGGAAACAUCUUUUCCCUUCGGGGCUAUUUGCAAGGUGCUGCAUGGUUGUCGUCAGCUCGUGCCGUGAGGUGUCGGGUUAAGUCCCAUAACGAGCGCAACCCCUAUCGUUAGUUGCCAGCGGGUCAAGCCGGGGACUCUAGCGAGACUGCCACCGUAAGGUGAGAGGAAGGUGGGGAUGACGUCAAAUCAGCACGGCCCUUAUGUCCAGGGCUACACACGUGUUACAAUGGCAGGUACAAAGGGCAGCUACCGGGCGACCGGAUGCUAAUCUCUAAAGCC
rnacentral:rRNA from 1 species